GCUUACGGCCAUAUCACGUUUAAAGCACCGGUUCUCGUCUGAUCACCGCAGUUAAGCAACGUCGAGCCUAGUCAGUACUUAGAUGGGUGACCGCUUGGGAAACCUAGGUGCAGUAAGCA
rnacentral:rRNA from 1 species